AGGGAUAGGAUAGUCUUGUGGUUAAGGUGUUUGACUCCCAACCAGAAGGUUCUGGGUUUGAACCCCAGACGUCCCUGA